rfam:TPA: Bos taurus chromosome 29, whole genome shotgun sequence.
UCCCUGAUGGUUUGGUGGCUAAAACUCUGUGCUCUCAAUGCAGGGGUCCCAGGUUCAAUCCCUGGUUAGGGAA